rnacentral:rRNA from 1 species
CCUACGGGAGGCAGCAGUGGGGAAUAUUGCGCAAUGGGCGAAAGCCUGACGCAGCGACGCCGCGUGAGUGAUGAAGGUCUUCGGAUCGUAAAGCUCUGUCAGCAGGGAAGAACGGUCACUGUGCUAAUCAGCAGUGAAUUGACGGUACCUGCAAAGGAAGCACCGGCUAACUCCGUGCCAGCAGCCGCGGUAAUACGGAGGGGGCGAGCGUUAAUCGGAAUUACUGGGCGUAAAGAGCACGUAUGCGGUAUGUCAAGUCAAGGGUGAAAGCACAGGGCUCAACUUGGGAACUGCUUUUGAUACUAUCAAACUAGAGUGUGUGAGAGGAUAGUGGAAUUCCAGGUGUAGGGGUGAAAUGCGUAGAUAUCUGGAGGAAUAUCAGUGGCGAAGGCGACUAUCUGGCACAUAACUGACGCUGAGGAGCGAAAGCGUGGGUAGCAAACAGGAUUAGAUACCCUGGUAGUC